AGUGAACGCUGGCGGUAGGCCUAACACAUGCAAGUCGAACGGCAGCACAGGAGAGCUUGCUCUCUGGGUGGCGAGUGGCGGACGGGUGAGGAAUACAUCGGAAUCUACUCUGUCGUGGGGGAUAACGGAGGGAAACUUACGCUAAUACCGCAUACGACCUACGGGUGAAAGCAGGGGAUCUUCGGACCUUGCGAGAAUGAAUGAGCCGAUGUCGGAUUAGCUAGUUGGCGGGGUAAAGGCCCACCAAGGCGACGAUCCGUAGCUGGUCUGAGAGGAUGAUCAGCCACACUGGAACUGAGACACGGUCCAGACUCCUACGGGAGGCAGCAGUGGGGAAUAUUGGACAAUGGGCGCAAGCCUGAUCCAGCCAUACCGCGUGGGUGAAGAAGGCCUUCGGGUUGUAAAGCCCUUUUGUUGGGAAAGAAAUCCAGCUGGCUAAUACCCGGUUGGGAUGACGGUACCCAAAGAAUAAGCACCGGCUAACUUCGUGCCAGCAGCCGCCGUAA
rnacentral:rRNA from 1 species